rnacentral:rRNA from 1 species
GACGAACGCUGGCGGCGUGCUUAACACAUGCAAGUCGAACGGAAAGGCCCUGCUUUUGUGGGGUGCUCGAGUGGCGAACGUGUGAGCAACACGUGAGUAACCUGCCCUUGACUUUGGGAUAACUUCAGGAAACUGGGGCUAAUACCGGAUAGGAGCUCCUGCUGCAUGGUGGGGGUUGGAAAGUUUCGGCGGUUGGGGAUGGACUCGCGGCUUAUCAGCUUGUUGGUGGGGUAGUGGCUUACCAAGGCUUUGACGGGUAGCCGGCCUGGGAGGGUGACCGGCCACAUUGGGACUGAGAUACGGCCCAGCCUCCUACGGGAGGCAGCAGUGGGGAAUAUUGCACAAUGGGCGGAAGCCUGAUGCAGCACCGCCGCGUGCGGGAUGACGGCCUUCGGGUUGUAAACCGCUUUCGCCUGUGACGAAGCGUGAGUGACGGUAAUGGGUAAAGAAGCACCGGCUAACUACGUG